CAGCCGCCACGGUAAUACGUAGGGUGCAAGCGUUAAUCGGAAUUACUGGGCGUAAAGCGUGCGCAGGCGGUCCGCUAAGACAGAUGUGAAAUCCCCGGGCUUAACCUGGGAACUGCAUUUGUGACUGGCGGGCUAGAGUAUGGCAGAGGGGGGUAGAAUUCCACGUGUAGCAGUGAAAUGCGUAGAGAUGUGGAGGAAUACCGAUGGCGAAGGCAGCCCCCUGGGCCAAUACUGACGCUCAUGCACGAAAGCGUGGGGAGCAAACAGGAUUAGAUACCCGCGUAGUCCCUGUCUCUUAUAC
rnacentral:rRNA from 1 species